GAUGAACGCUGGCGGCGUGCCUAAUACAUGCAAGUCGAGCGAACAGACGAGGAGCUUGCUCCUCUGACGUUAGCGGCGGACGGGUGAGUAACACGUGGAUAACCUACCUAUAAGACUGGGAUAACUUCGGGAAACCGGAGCUAAUACCGGAUAAUAUAUUGAACCGCAUGGUUCAAUAGUGAAAGACGGUUUUGCUGUCACUUAUAGAUGGAUCCGCGCCGCAUUAGCUAGUUGGUAAGGUAACGGCUUACCAAGGCAACGAUGCGUAGCCGACCUGAGGGGGUGAUCGGCCACACUGGAACUGAGACACGGUCCAGACUCCUACGGGAGGCAGCAGUAGGGAAUCUUCCGCAAUGGGCGAAAGCCUGACGGAGCAACGCCGCGUGAGUGAUGAAGGUCUUCGGAUCGUAAAACUCUGUUAUUAGGGAAGAACAAAUGUGUAAGUAGCUAUGCACGUCUUGACGGUACCUAAUCAGAAAGCCACGGCUAACUACGUG
rnacentral:rRNA from 1 species